rnacentral:rRNA from 1 species
GAUGAACGCUGGCGGCGUGCCUAAUACAUGCAAGUCGAACGCUUCAUUUCGGUGAAGAGUGGCGAACGGGUGAGUAAUACAUAAGUAACCUGGCAUCUACAGGGGGAUAAAUGAUGGAAACGUCAGCUAAGACCGCAUAGGUGUAGAGAUCGCAUGAACUCUAUAUGAAAAGUGCUACGGGACUGGUAGAUGAUGGACUUAUGGCGCAUUAGCUGGUUGGUAGGGUAACGGCCUACCAAGGCGACGAUGCGUAGCCGACCUGAGAGGGUGACCGGCCACACUGGGACUGAGACACGGCCCAGACUCCUACGGGAGGCAGCAGUAGGGAAUUUUCGGCAAUGGGGGAAACCCUGACCGAGCAACGCCGCGUGAAGGAAGAAGUAAUUCGUUAUGUAAACUUCUGUCAUAGAGGAAGAACGGUGGAUAUAGGGAAUGAUAUCCAAGUGACG